AGCGAACGCUGGCGGCAGGCUUAACACAUGCAAGUCGAACGCCCCGCAAGGGGAGUGGCAGACGGGUGAGUAACACGUGGGAACGUACCCUUUGGUUCGGAAUAACUUGGGGAAACUCAAGCUAAUACCGGAUAAGCCCUUAUGGGGAAAGGUCUACUGCCGAAGGAUCGGCCCGCGUCUGAUUAGCUAGCUGGUGAGGUAAUGGCUCACCAAGGCGACGAUCAGUAGCUGGUCUGAGAGGAUGAUCAGCCACACUGGGACUGAGACACGGCCCAGACUCCUACGGGAGGCAGCAGUGGGGAAUAUUGGACAAUGGGGGCAACCCUGAUCCAGCCAUGCCGCGUGAGUGAUGAAGGCCUUAGGGUUGUAAAGCUCUUUUACCCGGGACGAUAAUGACUGUACCGGGAGAAUAAGCCCCGGCUAACUUCGUGCCAGCCGCCGCGGUAA
rnacentral:rRNA from 1 species